rnacentral:SRP_RNA from 1 species
GAACGGGUCCCAUGCGACUCACGUUUUCGAACCCUGUCAGGGGCGGAAGCCAGCAGCAGUAAGGGAGCCUCUGAGAGCGCCGUGGCCCACCCGUCUCCG